AAAACCACCACGGGGUGCCAUACAUGGCUGAGAACACACCCGAAAACCUGAUCUCGAUAAUGCGAGCGGAGGAAUGGAAGAUGAGCGAUAG
rnacentral:ncRNA from 2 species